rnacentral:lncRNA from 1 species
GGGUGGAUCAAACCUGUCAAUAUGAGGAUGUCUGUCUUGAGGGAGGAGAAAAAUUCCCACCCUAUCCUCACAGCUGCCUAAGUGAAUAACCACUCAAUCAAAAAUGGAAUCUGGAGUAAAGAAGUUGUGAAACAAGGCAAACAGAAACGCUUUGCACCAAUCCCAUGACCCAAAAACAUGCCGAUACAAAUGGUUCAAUACAGCAAGAUCCAUAAUAACAAGGGUACUGAGUUCUAUAGGAGACUGAAGAUGAAGUAGUUCACUGAACUUGAAGUUCCAUCAAGUUGGUUGAAGAUGUGGAGUGAAAGAUUAUUAAAAUAUUCAUAAUCAAAGCUUGGAGAGAUAAUGGAAAUAUUUGAGGACAAAAUUAAGAUUUCAAGAUGAAUGAUGGCUAGAAAUAAUCAAAUAUCAGCAUGGGCCUGUGACCUUCUGUGACUGAUAAAAUAGUCCAGCUU